UGUCAUCCACCCCAAGCUCACUCACAAACAUUAAUGGCCAUCCUUGCUGUAGCAGAACCCCUCCUCUCCUCAUUAUGCUGUCCACCACUCUCCCGCACACCUUGUUGGGGUUGCUGGUUUCCCCAGCCCUCCCAACCCGCGAUCCAUGCCAAUGCAUCUCCAACACUAAUUUCCCUGUGAAUGUCAAUUCCAGCUGUUGAUUGAGGAGGAAAGAUAGGUCUGUACCAUCACUCAAGCCAGAGAUUAUGACCAGAACAUCUGGGUUGGCUGAGUGCACUGCUUCAGCUCCUUUCUGCAUGUACCUGGUCAAUUCAUGAAUAGCUUUAUAACAAGACCAAUUCCUACAAAUAUGGUAACUAAUAGUUUGGAAAUAUAACAACCCCCUCCCUUACGUGUCCGUGUAGAUAUUGUCCAAUCCAAUGGGACCCUCACCAUACAAUACAAUGCAUAUAUAAGAUUAAGAAGAACCCAUGAAUACAUAACAUUCUUCAAUUUGGUCCCGCACAUUAGGGAAUGAAUCAUAACAGGAAAAUAGAGAUCAUCACCUGUACCAGUCCUUCACAUUCUGAUUGGGGCAUCGGAGCUCAUUCCUCAAGCUCAUGCCCACCACAUUAGGGACACCGCUGAACAUGGUGGCAAUCCGGGUGAGGCCCUUGACCCACAAGUCUGGAUUGAAGUGCUGGUCGCCAAAGACGCCAUUGUCAUGGAAGCUGGGCUCGCUGAAGUGACUGUCUAGUAUGACCAUCAUAUUGUUGUCCGCAAGGUUAGACACCACCGCCUGCCAUAAUAACUUAAGAUAAAUACAAAACAGCGUUGGGUCUGUGCCUUUUUUACAAUACCGGUGUUUUAUCAUUGAAUAAUCACAAAUAUUAUUCUUUCCGAAUACUGUAGCUGUAACAGUGAGGGCGUUUGUCCAAAUUCACAAGCCACCUAUUUUUAAAUCAAGAUAAUCAUGAAAUCAUGUGAUAGUGUACGAACCAAGGAACCAUUUCAAAAGCCUCCUAUUUUUACUCCAUGCCCUAAUCAAAAUUUAAGCUCUAAAUCAUGGUGGGAAAGUGACUAAAAAUCAAAAGAAAAGCAGGUAAGUUUUAGGCAAACAAAAUAGAUUCAUUCAAUUUUCCUAGUACUUAAUGGAUUUGAGGCUUGGAGCCUCUUUAACUGAUGCCUAGAGAAAAUCAAAUGAACUUGACCACCUGGUAAGCGCUUGUGAGAGGAAGAUCAAGCAUGGAAGGGUUAUUGGCCUGGAAACCAGCAAGGGAUUCAAGCAAGCCAAGCCUCUGAAAGGACUGUAUAACAGUGAGGGAGGCCAGUGACUGGUCGGUGGCCAAGAAAAGUGGCAAAGUGAGCCUCACACAGUUGAACCCCAAGGACGCAAUCCUCUUGGAGAUGAGGUCAACUGGGUGGUUGCUGAGGCCCUCCGCCACCGCUGCUUCCUGAUGCGACGGCCAAUUCACGCAUGCCAGCUUCACCCGGGCGCCAUCUUCGUCUACUAUCCACCUUGAAUUGGUGUAUAGUGGCAGAGCCACUACAGGCUUCAGAGGUAGAAGACAUAGAAUAGAUAGAAAGAAGGACAAGAAGAAGAACCUCCCCAUCUGGAUUUGCAUUGACUGCUUGAUGGGUAGAUGGAAUGAGACAUAGUAUUGUAUUUAUAGGGUGGGGGCCCUUGUUUGUUUUUUCUUUUAAAAUUCCUUUUUUUUUUCUUUCUUCCCCACAUUAUGUUUUACUAGACCAAAUUCAUAUAUACAGUGAAAAAUGAUCAUAUAUUCAAAUAGUCAGCAUGUCUUUGAAUUGCUUUAUAAAAAUAUUAAAAAUUUAAGUUUUUUAUUUAAUUAAAAAAUAAAAAAAUUAAGUGUCAGAAAAUAAAUUUGUUUUUUUAUACCUCUAUCUAUUAAUUUUCAAUUUUAUACAAUAUUCAUAUCUUAUUUAUUUUAUAUAAACACAAAAAUUUAUUAUUCAUGAAUAAUCUCAAUCCCAAUCCCAUCAAAUUCUCACCAUCCAUUUACAUACAAAUAUUGAUUAGGGUUAAAUUCUUUGGUUGAUAGAUUUUGAAUUUAUCGUCUUUUCCACCGUGUUUCUUCCUAACAUGUCAAUAUUUUCUUCAAACCCAUCAUCUAAAUAACUCAUUAUUUGCAUGAUCCUUGAGUUAUACGAGUGAUUCACAUCGAAUGAAAGGUUUGAAAAUACUUUCUCUCGAUUAAUUUUCAUUGAUAUGAAAUACAUGUAUACAUACAAUAUACAACUGACUUUUUAGUGUAUCACUUCCUAUAAUUAUGAUGACUACUUUACAAUAGUAAACCGAUUUUAAAACAAAUGAAAUCAAAUAUUUAUGUAAUAUUCAAAAUGUUUAUAUAAUAUUCCAAAAUAAUCAACUAUUCUAUUUAGGGAUGAUAAUGAGUCAGGUUUUUUUGGGUACCCGUCUCACUCCAUCUCUAAUAAGACGGGGUUCAAUUUUAAUAAACAGGUUUGAGAAUUUUUUUUAAACCCGGGAUGGGUUCGGGUAUUGUCCUGUCUCGAUUAUAUAUAAAAUUAAAAUUUAAAAUUAAUUUAAUUUAAUUUUUAUUUCAUUAUUUUUAAUAUAUAGAUAAUAAUAAAAUAUUUUUAAUAAAUUAAGUUAUAAAAAAUAUAAUAAUUUAAUUAUUUAUAAAAUAUAUUUAUUUUAAUGUAAUUAAAAAUUUUAAAAAUAAUUUUUAAAAAAUACAAUUAAAAAAAAAAAGUUAAACGGCACGAGGGGUAUAAAAUUUUAUCAUACUCAUUCCUCCUUAUUUAAUUUUUUAAAUAGGACGAGAAUGAAAAUUAUUUUGAAUAAACGAAAUAGGGUUGGAUGACCUGUUGCCUUCCCUAAUCCUACUAAAAAGUCUCCAACAUGCCCCGCGAAAUGCUUACAAUCGUUGAGCAAUUGUAAUCAAUGAUCUUAACUUUCUUUUAUAAGGGGAAAGCGACAUUUUGAGAUGAAAUCUAUCCCGGGGGAUUUUCAUCUAAAACCUAGGAGUCUUAUCAUAUUCCCACAACAAUGCAUACACUGAAUUCAUUCAAAUAAGGAUGGGGUUUUUUCUUCAUAUUUAUUUGCAUAUUGUGGACUAUGAAUAGCAUUAUAAUUGGCGUUGGAAACACGCCAAGUUGCAGAACAUGGAAGUCAAAUAUUUGCUUGGAACUUUGGGGUUUGGAAAACUUGCAAGGCAAACCACAUCUACUUGGUUUCCCAUUGCUUUUUGUUUUUGCAUCUCAGCCUUUUGUUUAAUUCUUUUAAGCAAGUGAAUUUUAUACUUCUAUACUAUAAUUUAAAUUUUAAAAAUAAGUGUUUGAUGAUUUAAAUUUUCCUUUCAACAAAAUAUUAAAGAAUAAUUUAAAAAAAUACUUUUAAAUUCACUUUAAUUUUUCCUCAUUCUUACUUGUAGUUAUUAAUUAAUUUUUAUUUAUCCAUUAAAAAACCAUUGAUCAUUUAUGAAUAAUAAUAAGUAAUAAAUAAUAAAUAAUAAAUUAAAUUAGUGAUUUCUAUAAUAUAUAUAUAUAUAUAUAUAUAUAUGACAGAGACAAGAAGAGGUGAAUAAGAGGAAAUGAGGAUAGGGUUGGGGUGGGUUUUGGAGCAUUUUUACAUCCCUAUUUGUAAGUUUUGAAAGUUCCACGACAAUGCCAAUGGCUGUAGACCCUCUAUUUUGUCUUUCUCACACAUGUCGUUUAUAGCAAUUUCCUGGUGGCCCAUUAAUACUCGUGUAACCUAUCUUUUCUAAGCUACCUCGGAGACUUUGGUUGAGGGAUUAUCUGACCCCUUAUUGUGACCCUUGGCAGCCCUAACUUAGACUUAGGUUUUUCUUGCUUUUUUUUUAGGAUAGCUUUUAGGCACCCUAGGCCCACUUAGGCACCCUAGGCCCAUUUAGGUAACCCUAGGUCCAUUUAGGUAUCCCUAGGCCCAUUUAGGUAACCCUAGGUCCAUUUAGGUAUCCCUAGGCCCAUUUAGGUACACUUGGCCCAUUAGGCAUCACUUUAGGCCCAUUUAGACACUUUAGGCCCACUUAGUUACCUUAGGCCCACUUAGAUCACUUUAGGCCCAUUUAGUCACCCUAGGCCCAUUUAGCCACCCUAGACCCAUUUAGGUACACUUAGCCCAUUAGGCAUCACUUUAGGCCCAUUUAGACACUUUAGGCCCACUUAGUUACCUUAGGCCCACUUAGAUCACUUUGGGCCCAUUUAGCCACCCUAGGCCCAUUUAGGUAACCCUAGGCCCAUUUAGGCACACUUGGCCCAUUAGGCAUCACUUUAGGCCCAUUUAGACACUUUAGGCUCACUUAGUCACCCUAGGCCCACUUAGAUUACUUUAAGCCCAUUUAGGUACACUUGGCCCAUUAGGCAUCACUUUAGGCCCAUUUAGACACUUUAGGCCCACUUAGAUCACUUUAGGCCCAUUUAGGCACCCUAGACCCACUUAGUACACCCUAAGCCCAUUAGACGCACCUAGCCCAUUUGGUGUCACCCCAAGCCCACUUAGGCACCUUAGGUUCACUUAGAUACACCCUAGGCACCUUAGACCUACUUAAGCACCACCCUAAGCCCACUUAGGCACCCUAGGACGAUUUAGGCACUUUAGGCCCACUUAGGCACCUUAAGUCAAUUUAGGCACCAAUAGAAAGAUAAGAAACUGCCUAUGAUGUGAAGCUUGGAGUGGGUAGCUACCAUAUUGGUUCCAAGAGUAGACAUAUGGAAAAAAUGAAUGGAGCCAUGUUAUGGGGAAGAUUCAGCUUAUGUAUGAAAAAAGAAAUGAUGAGCAGCAAAGAAGGUAAUGUAAUUUGUCUUUUGGAAAAAGAAUCACAUGAUGAUGGAAGGAGGAUUCAGUAGUGUUUUGGGUCAAAGCAUAUUUUAAACGGAAAAGGAAAAGAGAUGAUAUAUUUUAGGAAGAAUUGAGGUGGCAUAUUGAAUAGACAGACUGUAUUUUGCAAGAAAGAGAGCAGAGGGAAUUCAGAGAAGGAAAGAAAAGUCAACUCACAUGCAAAAAAUGGAGGAAAGGCGUGAUGAAAGGGAUUGAGGUUUUUUUUUUUUGGGGAAUAUGAGAGACAAUUGAGGAGGGAGAAGGAGGAUUUUUUUUUUUAGAGGAGAGCCGGAAGAUAGAUGGGAGACAUCUUAGGGAGAAAAAACAAAAGAGUUUUGGAAGAAUUUUGGUUGAUUUUUUGAACGAGAUUCAGAAGAAAAUUAUAGACAUGGAGAUCACGUUUCCGGGUGGAACUUCUAAAGAACGCAUAGGCUGAUUCGGGGACUCUUUGUGGUGAAGGAACACGCGAGUCAGAUCGAAGAAGCGGACACAACUAGACUGAGAAGAAAAAGUGACACAACCGUGAAAGAGGGUAGCUGCAAGCAAGGAAAGGAAAUGAAAUCAUGGACGGUUAUAAUAGGAUUUAAUGUCUUCCGGUGAGUGUUUUGUUGGAUUUAAUGUAUUUAUAUGAGAUGUGUUAAUGAUUGUUUGAACAAAAUAUAAAUUAAGUUAGGAUUUUUAGUUUUUUUUUUUUGUUUUUUAAUUUAUUUUAUUUAUUUUAUUUUAGUUAUCAUUAUUAUUAUUGCUAAUCUCAUGUUACUUUUUGUAGGCAUUUGUCUUGGAUGAUUCGGGCUGAUAGUUUAAAAAUUAGAUGUUUUAUUCGUUUUGGAUAAUUUUGUGAUGUUAAUGAAAAGUUGAAAUAUUUUGCAAGUUUUUUUAGUUUUCAAUAAUUUGGAUAUUAAUGAAAAGUUAUAUUGUGCUUUUUUUUUUUUUUAGCUUUGGGAUAAUUCCUGAUAAUUGUUUGAAUAAAAUAUAAACCAAGUUAGGAUUUUUAGUUUUUUUUUGUUUUUGAAUUUAUUUUGUUUAUUUUAUUUUAGUUAUCAUUAUUAUUAUUGUUAAUCUCAUGUUACUUUUUGUAGGCAUUUGUCUUGGAUGAUUCGAGAUGAUAGUUUAAAAAUUAGAUGUUUUAUUAGUUUUGGAUAAUUUUGUGAUGUUAAUGAAAAGUUGAAAUAUUUUGCAAGUUUUUUUUUAGUUUUCAAUAAUUUGGAUAUUAAUGAAAAUUUAUAUUGUGCUUAAUUUUUAGUUUUGGGAUAAUUCCUGAUGAUGAUGAAGAAGUUUGAAUUUUUAAGUGUUUUGAUAAUUUUUAUGAUAGCUUUGUUCAAAAAUAAAAAAUAAAAAGUCGUAAUAUUUAAAUUAUUUUAAACAUUUUUUGUUCUCUUGGAUUAAAAUAUAAAAUAAUUGUCUAUCUUAUUUAAAAAUUUUAUUAUGUUUUAAAAAAAUAAAAAAAAAAUUAUGUGCUUUCUAAAUAAAGAGUUGUGGAAAUCAUCCUCUUGUAAAUAAAAUAAAGUAAAAAAAAAAUUAUUAAAGAAAAAUUUAAAUUAUAAAAGAUUUUCUUACAUUAAAAAAAAUAUUUUAAAAUUGUCAAAUAUAUUUUUUAUGAGGUUUUAUUAUUAUUAACAUUAUUAAUUAAUUAAUUUUUUUUUUCUCUUUUUGGUAAAUGAAUUUUUUGAAAGCAUUUUCUUUACAUGGAAUUAAAGCCAUUUUAUUUAAGUAAAUUGAAACUUCCUUUUAUAAGAUUAACUAAAACUAUGGACUCAAUUAUUACUAUUAUUAUUAUAAUUUUAAUACUCAUGAAAUAUUUCCUUUAUAAAAGUGAUAAUUACAUUUAUUUUCUUGUGAAUGAACUUUUUAAAAACAUUUCCUUUGCAUGGAAUUAAAGUCUUUUUAUUUAAAUAAAUUAAAGCUUCUUUUUAUAAAUAAAAUUCAUUAAAACUAUGGAAUCAAUUAUUGUUAUUAUUAUCAUUAUUUUUAAUACUUAUGAAAUAUUUCCUUUAUAAAAGUGAUAAUAUUUAUUUUCUUGUGAACAAACUUUUUUAAAAAAAAUAUUUUAUUUGCAUGAAAUUAUAGCCUUCUUAUUUAAGUGAAUCAAAACUUCCUUUUAUGAAUACAAUUCAUUAAAACUGUCGAAUAAAUAUUUUUUUUAAUACUCAUGAAUUUUUUAUUUUUUUAUUUUUUUAUUUUUAUUUUUACGAAAGUAAUAACAUUUAAUUCCAAGCUAUAUUUGUGUAUAUCAAUUGGGGAAUUGGUGAAACCCCUACAUAAAAUCAUCUUUUUAAAACUCAUCUUUAUUGUCACCCUUGCCAUUUAUUGAAAUCAUAUCUAUUUUUUUAGGAAUUAUAUACAAGAUGUAUGUGAUAAUUGAUGAUUUUGUAUACUUUGAUCACUUUUGCUAUGCUAAGUAGAUAACGAGCAUGCUAGGAUUUCUAUAUUUUAUUAUUUAUUAUCUAACCCCUUACAACUUGAGGAAGCACGUUACAAAUUAUCUAUGCUAUCUAAGUAUGUCCUCUAUCACCUACUUUCUGAAUUCUGUGAAUACGCUUGUCAUUGUGAAAUAAUGCUUAUGUCUAAUAAUGCUUGAGUGUUCUGAUAUACAUGUUUCAUUGUUUGAUUAUUUCUAAUAAAAUACAUGCUGGAUGAUAUAUUGUUUAAAUUAACCAUUGAUGUUUUAUGAUAGCGCUUGAGAAGCGGUCCAGGUACGCAUCCUAACCUUCCUUUAUUAUGAUUUGAUCUUGUUUGACAUGCUAUUUUUUGGAAUCAUCUAGCCUACUUAGGUAUCCAUAAUUAACCGGUUAAUUGCCACAUUCCCCUUAACUUAGUUAGUAGAGACCUUUAUAGGGCUUAGAGGGGUGCUACCUUUUAAAGGUACCUUCCCAAUAGGUAACCUAAUCCCCGGACUUAGACUCGGUGUGGACCCGCAUUUCUCACGUGCGUCCCCACUCGAUCGGGGAGACUCGCUUUUUAUUUGUGAAAAAAAUAUUUAGUUUUGGAAAAGUUGGAGCCGCCACUUAUUUUAUUUUUAUUUUAAAGGGAAAAUAAAACAAGAAAGAAAAACCCUAAAAUGUGACUCCAUAAUUUUUGGAAAAAAGCAUGUCUUUGAAAAACCCGAGUCUAAGUCCGGGGAUCAGGUUACCUAUUGGGAAGGAAUGUGGCAAUUAACCGGUUAAUUAUGGAUACCUAAGUAGGCUAGAUGGUUCCAAAAAAUAGCAUGUCAAACAAGAUCAAAUCAUAAUAAAGGAAGGUUAGGAUGCGUACCUGGACCGCUUCUCAAGCGCUAUCAUAAAACAUCAAUGGUUAAUUUAAACAAUAUAUCAUCCAGCAUGUAUUUUAUUAGAAAUAAUUAAACAAUGAAACAUGUAUAUCAGAACACUCAAGCAUUAUUAGACAUAAGCAUUAUUUCACAAUGACAAGCAUAUUCACAGAAUUCAGAAAGUAGGUGAUAGAAGACAUACCUAGAUAGCAUAGAUAAUUUGUAACGUGCUUCCUCAAGUUGUAAGGGGUUAGAUAAUAAAUAAUAAAAUAUAGAAAUCCUAGCAUGCUCGUUAUCUAAUUAGCAUAGCAAAAGUGAUCAAAGUAUACAAAAUCAUCAAUUAUCACAUACAUCUUGUAUAUAAUUCCUAAAAAAAUAGAUAUGAUUUCAAUAAAUGGCAAGGGUGACAGUAAAGAUGAGUUUUAAAAAGAUGAUUUUAUGUAGGGGUUUCACCAAUUCCCCAAUUGAUAUACACAAAUAUAGCUUGGAAUUAAAUGUUAUUACUUUCGUAAAAAAAUUAAAAAAUAAAAAAUAAAAAUUCAUGAGUAUUAAAAAAACAUUUAUUCGAUAGUUUUAAUGAAUUGUAUUUAUAAAAGGAAGUUUUGAUUUACUUAAAUAAGAAGGCUUUAAUUUCAUGCAAAGAAAAUAUUUUUUUAAAAAAAGUUUGUUCACAAGAAAAUAAAUGUUAUCACUUUUAUAAAGGAAAUGUUUCAUAAGUAUUAAUAAUAAUAAUAAUAAUAAUAACAAUAAUUGAUUCCAUAGUUUUAAUGAAUUUUAUUUAUAAAAAAUAAGCUUUAAUUUAUUUAAAUAAAAAGACUUUAAUUCCAUGCAAAGGAAAUGUUUUUAAAAAACUCAUUCACAAGAAAAUAAAUGUAAUUAUCACUUUUAUAAAGGAAAUAUUUCAUAAGUAUUAAAAAUAAUAAUAAUAAUAAUAAUAAUGAUAAUUGAUUCCAUAGUUUUAAUGAAUUUUUUUUUAAAAAAAAAAGUUUUAAUUUAUUUAAAUAAAAAGACUUUAAUUCCAUGCAAGAAAAUAUUUUUAAAAAGUUCAUUCACAAGAAAAUAAAUGUAAUUAUCACUUUUAUAAAGGAAAUAUUUCAUGAGUAUAAUAAUAAUAAUAGUAAUAAUUGAUUCCAUAGUUUUAAUUAAUCUUAUAAAAGGAAAUUUCAAUUUACUUAAAUAAAAAAAGGCUUUAAUUCCAUGCAAAGAAAAAAGUUUAUUCACAAGAAAAUAAAUGUUAUCACUUUUAUAAAGGAAAUAUUUUAUGAGUAUUAAUAAUAACAAUAAUAAUAAUAAUUGAUUCCGUAGUUUUAAUGAAUUUUAUAAAAGGAAGUUUUAAUUUAUUUAAAAAAAGACUUUAAUUCCAUGUAAAGAAAAUGCUUUCAAAAAAUUCAUUGACAAAAAAGAGAAAGAAAAAAAAAUUAAUUAAUUAAUAAUGGUAAUAAUAAUAAAACCUCAUAAAAAAUAUAUUUGACAAUUUAAAAACAUUUUUUUUAAUGGAAGAAUAUCUUUUAUAAUUUAAAUUUUUCUUUAAUAAUUUUUUUUAACUUUAUUUUAUUUACAAGAGGAUGAUUUCCACAACUCUUUAUUUAGAAAGCACAAAAAAUUUUAUUAUUUUUUAUUAUUUUUUUAAAACAUAAUAAAUUUUUUAAAUAAGAUAAACAAUUAUAUGUUAAUCCAAGAGAACAAAAAAAUGUUUAAAAUAAUUUAAAUAUUACAACUUUUUAUUUUUGAAUUUUGAACAAAGCUAUCAUAAAAAUUAUCAAAACACUUAAAAAUUCAAACUUUUUCAUCAUCAUCAAGAAUUAUCCCAAAACUAAAAAUUAAGCACAAUAUAAAUUUUCAUUAAUAUCCAAAUUAUUGAAAACUAAAAAAACUUGCAAAAUAUUUCAACUUUUCAUUAGCAUCACAAAAUUAUUCAAAAUGAAUAAAACAUCUAAUUUUUAAACUAUCAUCCCGAAUCAUCCAAGACAAAUGCCUACAAAAAGUAACAUGAGAUUAGCAAUAAUAAUAAUGAUAACUAAAAUAAAAUAAACAAAAUAAAUUCAAAAAAACAAAAAAAAAAAACUAAAAAUCCUAACUUGAUUUAUAUUUUAUUCAAACAAUCAUCAAGAAUUAGCCCAAAGCUAAAAAAAAAAAUAAGCACAAUAUAACUUUUCAUUAAUAUCCAAAUUAUUGAAAACUAAAAAAAAAACUUGCAAAAUAUUUCAACUUUUCAUUAACAUCACAAAAUUAUCCAAAGCGAAUAAAACAUCUAAUUUUUAAACUAUCAUCCCGAAUCAUCCAAGACAAAUGCCUACAAAAAGUAACAUGAGAUUAACAAUAAUAAUAAUGAUAACUAAAAUAAAAUAAAUUCAAAAACCAAAAAAAACUAAAAAUCCUAACUUAAUUUAUAUUUUGUUCAAACAAUCAUUAACACAUCUCAUAUAAAUACAUUAAAUCCAACAAAACACUCACCGGAAGACAUUAAAUCCUAUUAUAACCGUCCAUGAUUUCAUUCCCUUUCCCUUAACAAAUAAAUAAAAACAUGACAAUAGCAUCAUUCACAUCAGGACUGACCAUAUAUUCACAUUCGUUUGCAUUUUAAAUCCAACAAAACGAAGUCAAAUAACACUAACCUUGCUUGCAGCUACCCUCUUUAACGGUUGUGUCACUUUUUCUUCUCAGUCUAGUUGUGUCCGCUUCUUCGAUCUGGCUCGCGUGUUCCUUCACCACAAAGAGUCCCCGAAUCAGACUAUGCGUCCUUUAGAAGUUCCACCCGGAAACGUGAUCUCCAUGUCUAUAAUUUUCUUCUGAAUCUCGUUCAAAAAAUCAACCAAAAUUCUUCCAGAACUCUCUUUUUUUUCUCCCUAAGACGUCUCCCAUCUAUCUUUCGGCUCUCCUCUCAAAAAAAAAUCCUUCUUCUCCCUCCUCAAUUGUCUCUCAUAUUCCCCAAAAAAAAAACCUCAAUCCCUUUCAUCACGCCUUUCCUCCCCUUUUUUGCAUGUGAGUUGACUUUUCUUUCCUUCUCUGAAUUCCCCCUGCUCUCUUUCUUGCAAAAUACAGUAUGUCUAUUCAAUAUGCCACCUCAAUUCUUCCUAAAAUAUAUCAUCUCUUUUCCUUUUCCGUUUAAAAUAUGCUUUGACCCAAAACACUACUGAAUCCUCCUUCCAUCAUCAUGUGAUUCUUUUUCCAAAAGACAAAUUACAUUACCUUCUUUGCUGCUCAUCAUUUCUUUUUUCAUACAUAAGCUGAAUCUUCCCCAUAACAUGGCUCCAUUCAUUUUUUCCAUAUGUCUACUCUUGGAACCAAUAUGGUAGCUACCCACUCCAAGCUUCACAUCAUAGGCACUUUCUUAUCUUUCUAUUGGUGGACUUCCUACAAAAUUUCAAAGUUAAUAAAGUAAUAGUAAUAAUAAUAAUAAUAAUAAUAAUGAAAACUUUUAAACAAAAUUAUUAAAUUAAAUUAAAUAAGUAAAGACAAGUAUUAGGGAAAAGUGAUAAAAUAAUAGGAAAAUAAAAUAAAUGAAGAAAUAUACAAAUUAAUAAAUAAAAUAAAAUAAACAAAAAUAUAAGAGUAAAAAAAAAAAUUCAAGCAAUGUGAUUUUACAAAAACGAGUCUUGCAAGUCAUACAAGCCAUGCAACCAUGCCCAUGCAAAAAAAAUGAUCUAAAUGGGCCUAAGGUGCCUAAAUGGGCCUAGAAUGCCUAAAUUGGCCUAAGGUGCCUAAAUGGGCUUAAGGUGUCUAAAUGGGCCUAGGGUGCCUAAAUGGGCCUAAGGUGCCUAAAAGGGCCUAUGGUGCCUAAAUUGACUUAAGGUGCCUAAGUGGGCCUAAAGUGCCUAAAUCGUCCAAGGGUGCCUAAGUGGGCUUAGGGUGGUGCUUAAGUAGGUCUAAGGUGCCUAGGGUGUAUCUAAGUGAACCUAAGGUGCCUAAGUGGGCUUGGGGUGACACCAAAUGGGCUAGGUGCGUCUAAUGGGCUUAGGGUGUACUAAGUGGGCCUAGGGUGCCUAAAUGGGCCUAAAGUGAUCUAAGUGGGCCUAAAGUGUCUAAAUGGGCCUAAAGUGAUGCCUAAUGGGCCAAGUGUACCUAAAUGGGCCUAAAGUAAUCUAAGUGGGCCUAGGGUGACUAAGUGAGCCUAAAGUGUCUAAAUGGGCCUAAAGUGAUGCCUAAUGGGCCAAGUGUGCCUAAAUGGGCCUAGGGUUACUUAAAUGGGCCCAAAGUGAUCUAAGUGGGCCUAAAGUAACUAAAUGGGCCUAAAGUGUCUAAAUGGGCCUAAAGUGAUGCCUAAUGGGCCAAGUAUACCUAAAUGGGCCUAGGGAUACCUAAAUGGGCCUAGGGUGGCUAAAUGGGCCUAAAGUGAUCUAAGUGGGCCUAAGGUAACUAAGUGGGCCUAAAGUGUCUAAAUGGGCCUAAAGUGAUGCCUAAUGGGCCAAGUGUACCUAAAUGGGCCUAGGGAUACCUAAAUGGACCUAGGGUUACCUAAAUGGGCCUAGGAUGCCUAAGUGGGCCUAGGGUGCCUAAAAGCUAUCUUAAAAAAAAAGCAAGAAAAGCCUAAGUCUAAGUUAGGGCUACCAAGGGUCACAAUAAGGGGUCAGAUAAUCCCUCAACCAAAGUCUCCGAGGUGGCUUAAAAAAGAUAGGUUACACGAGUAUUAAUGGGCCACCAAGGAAUUGCUAUAAACGACAUGUGCGAAGAAGACAAAAUAGAGGGUCUACACUCGGGUUUUUCAAAGACAUGUUUUUUUCCAAAAAUUAUGGAGUCACAUUUUAGGGUUUUUCUUUCUUGUUUUAUUUUCCCUUUAAAAUAAAAAUAAAAUAAGUGGCGGCUCCAACUUUUCCAAAACUAAAUAUUUUUUCACAAAUAAAAAGCGAGUCUUGCCGAUCGAGUGGGGACGCAUGUGAGAAAUGCGGGUCCACAAUGGCAUACUACUUCCAUUUGCUAGACUUAACCAUUAUUAAGUAAUGUAAUUAAUUAUAUUUUCUGCAUAUGCUUAAUUGUAGGAAAUAUUAUUUUGUCUCUAGCCUUAACAUGUGUAUUAGUUGUUUUUGAUAUUUUUUACUGCAUUUUUAUAUCAUAUAAAUUUUAGUCACUAGUUAUUUUCAUUGAGCAUUGAAAUUCCAAAAUAUUCUUUAUUUCUAUUCUCUCUGCUUCCCUUUCUUCUAUAAGAUAUUGUUUUUGACUACUUACAACCCACAAGAUUUUGAUCAGCGGUGCGAGGUACGAGAUCCCAAGUACCAUUACGGAGUAGAGCAUCAAAUUCUUCUGACAUUGCUUGAUGCCAUCGAGGGUCCUUAAGGGCCUGGGAAACACAGGUGAGCUCAGUGAUGGGUUCGGUAGGGGUAGUGGCAAGCAUGGUCAGCUUUGUGGAUGGUUUGACAAUGUUGUUUUUGGCACGAGUGAUCAUGGAGUGGUGAUUAAGGGGAUUAACAAGGUGGAUUGGUGGUGGGUUCAAAGCCGGAAGUGGUAUUUGUCCAAGUGGUGGAGAAGAAGAUACAAUAGGUUGGCAUAGAGUCUUCAAAUUGAUGAAUAAUAGUUUUUCAUUGAUUAUUUCAUUCAUUCAUGUACAUAGUAUAUAUAGAGGGUAAUCACCAUUCUAAGAAUGGGAAAGAAUUAUACAAUGAAUGAAUGAUAUAAGGAAAGAACAACUAAUAUCCGAAUAUCUCAACAUUCCUAAUAUUUCAACUUUCCUAAUAUCUCAACAUUUCUAAUAUCUCAACACUCCCCCUCAAGUUGGUGCAUAGAUGUCACACAUGUCCAACUUGUCUAAAAAUUUUGAGAACACUCGACUUGACACUGUAGCUUUGGUGAGGAUAUCGGCCAAUUGAUCUUCUGAUAGAAUCUUAGGCAAUUCCACAAUCUUAUCAUCUAACUUCUCCUUAAUGAAGAAUCUGUCCACCUCGACAUGCUUUGUACAAUCAUGUUUUACUGGAUUAUGAGCAAUAUCACAUGCGGCUUUAUUGUCACAAAACAAUCGGAUUGGUUGCCUAGAUAGGUAACCUAAAUCCUAUAAGAGGAGUCUUAGCCAUAAUGUCUCACAAAGUCCUAGAGUUAUACCCCUAAAUUCCGCUUCUGCACUUGAAUGAGCGACGACAUUCUGCUUCUUACUUUUCCAUAUCACAAAAUUACCACCUACAAAGGUAAAGUAACCAGAUGUAGAUCACCUAUUAUCCACUGCACUGGCCUAAUCAGCAUUAGUAUAUACUUCUAUACUCUGAUGAUCAACAUUUUUAGUGAACAAAAUUCCCUUCCUAUGAGCAUUCUUCAAAUACCUCAAAAUACGCAUGACUGCAUUCAUAAAUUGCUCUCCAGGAUUAUGCAUGUAUUGACUUAGUACACUCAAUGCAUAAGCAAGAUCUGGUCUUGUAUGAGCUAAGUACACUAAUCUCCCCACAAGUCUCUGGUAUCUUCCCUUAUCAAUUGAUACUUGAUUAGGCUCACCACACAAUUUCAGACCUUCUUCUAUUGGCGUAUCAACAGGUUAACAUCUCGACAUUCCAGUCUCCUAUAAAAAAUCUAAGGCAUACUUUCUUUGAGACAGAAAAAUUCCUUCACUUGAUCGAGAAACUUCAAUCCCAAGAAAGUAUUUCAAAGAACCUAGAUCUUUCAUUUCGAAUUCUCUAGAUAAAUAAUUUUGCAGAGCUUUUCUUUAUUCAGGAUCAUUUCCUGUAACUACCAUGUCAUCCACAUAUACGAUGAGUGUUGUAAUCUUACCAUGUUACUUUUUCAGGAACAAAGUGUGAUCUAAAUUACUUUGACGAUAGCCAANNNNNNNNNNNNNNNNNNNNNNNNNNNNNNNNNNNNNNNNNNNNNNNNNNNNNNNNNNNNNNNNNNNNNNNNNNNNNNNNNNNNNNNNNNNNNNNNNNNNNNNNNNNNNNNNNNNNNNNNNNNNNNNNNNNNNNNNNNNNNNNNNNNNNNNNNNNNNNNNNNNNNNNNNNNNNNNNNNNNNNNNNNNNNNNNNNNNNNNNNNNNNNNNNNNNNNNNNNNNNNNNNNNNNNNNNNNNNNNNNNNNNNNNNNNNNNNNNNNNNNNNNNNNNNNNNNNNNNNNNNNNNNNNNNNNNNNNNNNNNNNNNNNNNNNNNNNNNNNNNNNNNNNNNNNNNNNNNNNNNNNNNNNNNNNNNNNNNNNNNNNNNNNNNNNNNNNNNNNNNNNNNNNNNNNNNNNNNNNNNNNNNNNNNNNNNNNNNNNNNNNNNNNNNNNNNNNNNNNNNNNNNNNNNNNNNNNNNNNNNNGCGAUAUCCCUUUUUGUGCAAUGCAUAUCCAACAAACACACAUUGCAAUGCACGGGAAGUUAACUUGGUACGUUGGUGUUUGUGUAGAUGCACAAAUGCCACGCAACCAAAAACAUGAGGAGGUAGAUUUAAGACGGUUGGGGCAACUACGACAUUAGUAAGAGGUUGGAGAAGUGUUUGGAAGUAAUUGAGAUGGAAGGUACCCGAUUGAUCAAGUAUACGACAGAUGUGAUUGCUUAUCCCGAAUAAGAUAUCGGUAUUUGUACUGCUAUCAAGGAAACACGAACAACCUCUAACAAGUGUCGAUUUUUCCGUUCAGCGACUCCAUUUUGCUGGUGUGUAUUGGAACAAGUAGUCUGAUAAAUGAUGUCAUGUCCUUCUAAAUAAUUUUGAAGAUCAGAACUCUGAUAUUCUCCACCAUUAUUGCUACAUAGAACCCGAACCUUUGCAUUGUACUGAGUUUCAAUCAUUUUAUGAAAUUUUUGAAACAACAAGUUCACUUCAUCUUUGGUCUUCAUCAAGCAUAACCAUGUCAUUCUAGUAUAAUCAUCAAUAAAAGUAACAAAUCAACGCAAACCACUCAAAGUUGGAACUUUGGAUGUGCCUCAAACAUCAGAAUAUAUAACCAUAAAAAGAAACGGACUUUUAUUCAAAUUUAACAGAAACAAAGCACGAUGGCUUUUAGCCAAUUCACAAACAUCACAACAGAAACCAGAAAUAUCACUAUUUGCAAAUAAACUAGGAAACAAUUUUUUUAAAUAACCAAAGGAAGCAUGUCCCAAACGUCGAUGCCAUAACCAAAUUUCAGACUUUUUCUUCUCCCUCUCAGAUCCAUCUGCCAUCAAGGUUUGUCGCAACUUAUUUGAAUCAUUUGACUGCAAGUCCAAGUAAUAGAGUUUUCCCCGCUUAAUACCACAACCAAUCGUCUCUCUUGUUUGGAUGUCCUUAAAAACACCAAAUUCAGGCCAAAAAAUGACAAUACAAGAUAAAGUUGUAGUGAUUUGAGAAAUUGACAAAAUAUUGUAAUCUAAAGAUAGAACAACUAAAACAUAAUCCAAAUUCAAAGUAUCAGUAAGAGUUAAGGAUCCUUCCCCAAUGACUAUGGUUGUGUUACUAUUGGCUAUGGAAAAAAAAAUUUGUGAGUAAGGUCUAAGGGGUGAGAUCUGUCUAGAAUCAAAAGUCAUAUGAUCUGUAGCACCAGAAUCAAUUAUCCAUGCACUAUUAAUAACAGGUGUAGAAGUAUUUAAAAAUUGACCACCAUAAUCUGUAACGGCUACCAAUGCAGAAGCUUUCUCAACAACAUUAGUCUCUGUUUUUAUUUUGGCAACAACUACAGUCAAGGUUUUCUUAGAAUCCUUCUUCCGUUGAUCACGAUUAUGAUCCCACCAAUCUGGAUAUCCCACAAUUUCAAAGCGACGACUCUUGGUAUGACCAGUCUUAUUGCAGUGAGUGCAUUUGAAGGUUGACUUAUCAAUAUUAGGGUUUGUCUUAGGAUGGUUGGUCUUGGAUUGGUCCUACCAAUUCUAGGUUGAUCGCUGUCGGACUACCAUAGUUGAGGUGUCAGGGUUGUCAAAUUCUACUUUCAUACUAGCAUGACGCUCUGUCUCUCGUCGAAUCAAUGCAUAGCAUUCUUCCAAAUCAGGAAGAGGAUCUUUGCGUAGAAUCUCUCCUCGAACUUGCUCAAAGUCACCAUCCAAUCCAGUAAGAAAGAUGUGCACCCGUUGUCGUUCAAUGGAUUUCCGAUAUGUUGCAAUGUCCUCAGGGUCUUUCAUGACUACCUUAUCCCGAUGAUCCAAUUCGCAAAAAAAUUUAGUUAACUUUCCAUAAUAUUCAGAAAGAGACGCCGCUUUGUUUGGCAAUGAAGGCUUUUUGAUUCAAAUUAAAAACUUGUAAUUCAUCACUUCCAUCAUAGAAGGCCUUUGAUAAUGCACUCCAAAUUUCUUGAGCGGUGGGUAAGCGUAAGUAACGCUUCAUAAUUUCUAGACUCAUGGACAUUAACAACCAUCUCUUCACCUUUUAAUUCUCAGCAUACUAUUUUUCAUAUCCAUCUUCUGACUCUUUUGGUCAAUUUAUCUUACCUCGAAUGUAGGAAAGUUUUUCUCGUUCAGCAAUAUGCAUCUCCACGAGUUAUGACCAAACGUCAUAGUUUGAUUCAGUUAAAAUAAUUCCUAGAUUAAAAGUACCUUCAGAUUGAAAAACAAUAGUAUUUUUUUCACUCAUUUUUUUUAUUAUUAUUAUUAUCAAAAAGGAGGGGCGAUAGCUGGCCUUACCAACAAAAUAUCCAGGAUUUCAGUUCCAUAGCUCCGAUACCAUCUUCAAAUUAAUGAAUGGUAGUUUUUCAUUGAUUAUUUAAUUCGUUCAUGUACAGAGUAUAUAUAGAGGGUAAUCACCAUUCUAAAAAUGGGAAAGAAUAAUACAAAGAAAGAAUGAUAUAAGGAAAGAACAACUAAUAUCAUAAUAUCUCAACAUGGAGAUGGAUUAGGAAUAGAAAGACAAGGCAUUUGAACAAAAAUAUUAGGAAAGCUCAGAGAAAGGGAACCUAUGAGACCUUUAUUACCAUUACUCAUUAGUGCUUCCAAAUAAAGAACCGAGUUACCAGAAAGAGGAGAUGCUAAAGAGAUGUUCGAUGGAGGAGUACUAGUAGGAGUAGGGGUGGAUAAAUGGGGCGAGAACCAGGACUCUAUGAAUGAGAAAGGCAGAGAGGGAUUGGAUGUGGCAAAUGGAAAGAUGGAUUCAACAAACUUGACAUGACAAGAUGUGUAGGUUUUAUAAGUGGUGGGAUCAAGACAAAUAUAGGCACUUUGAAAGAGUGAGUAGCCAAUCAAUACACAUGCAUGGUUUGGACUUGAACUCAAGUUUAUGAGAAUUAUAAGGACAUAACCAUGGAUAACACAAGCAACCAAAGACUCGAAGUUUUGCUAGAUUUGGCGAUUAACUAAAAAGUUUUUGGUAAGAAGAAAGAAACCUAAUAUUAUGUUUUGGUAAUCAAUUGAUCAAAUAGAUAGUAGUGGCAAAGGCUUCGAGCCAAAAUGAUAAGAACAUAGAAUCAUGAUGCAAUAAAGUGAGGGUUGUCUCAACUAUAUGAUGAUGAUGACGCUCUGAGUAUCCAUUGCGUUCAGGAGUAUGGGGGGAAUGGUGAGGCAGGAGACACCAUGAUGAGCCAAAAAAUAAAAAUUUGAGAGCAAGAUAUUCCCCACCAUUGUCUGUGUAUAGUUGUAUCAUUUGUUUGUUAUAAAAAUUUUCCACAAGCACUUUGAAACGAAUAAAAAUAUCUAAAACAUCAGACUUUUUUUUUCAUGGGAUAAAACCAAAUAUAUUUUGUAAAAUGGUCAAUGAAAAUAAUAUUUAUUACCAUUGAAGGAUUCCACAGGAGAGCACCAUACAUCAGAAUAAAGAAGUUGAAGAGGAGAGGUGCCAAUGAGCGAUGAUGCAGAAAAAGGAAGCUUAUGGCUUUCAUUACUGUGACAAGAGUUGCAAGAAAAGUUCCUAAUACUAGUGGAAGAUAAGUGAAUGCACUAAGAUGACACGAGGGGACUAAGAACUUUGGCAAAAGGAUGAUCGGGACGGUGAUGCCAAUCAGAAGUAGAUGCUUUAAUAGAAGCAAAGGCAAGUAAUGGUUUGGAUUUCUCAUGGACGGUCAGCCACUCGUAGACUCCAUCCUUAGAAUUAUCUGUCAAAAGCGUUGCUCCCAUUCGAAGAUCUUUCAUAAGAAAAGAGCGAGGUAAGAACUCAAUAGAAAUAUUGUUAGUUAAGCAAAAGUGAGAAACAGAAAUUAGGUUGCGUCUCAUAAAGGGCACACAAAGAACAUCAUGUAAAAAAAUGAGUAAGGGGAGGAUUGAAGAGUAGAAGAACCCAUGUGAGUGAUGGGGAAACUAGUGCCAUCACCAAUCAUGAUAUCAUUAUAAACAGUGGAAUCAGAGUAAAGAAGGAGAAUCUAUAUGUCACUUGUCACAUGAUGAGAGGCGUCAAAAUCCAACAACCAAUCAAUGGAAGAAGGAGCAGUCGAGGAGGCAAAAUGAGCCUGGGGAGUUGUCGACCGAGUGGAUAGGGACGGAUAAGCAGCCUAGGGUAUAUGCUUAUAGGUAGAACAUCAUUUGGCAAAGUGGCCUUCAAUACCACAAAGCUGACAAAAACCUCGGAAAGGUUUGGGAGGUGGGCGAGGUUGGUGAGAACUAGCAGGAAGGUGAGGGUUAUUGGAAGAAGAGUUACGACGAUAAGAAUUGGCCUUAUAAUUAUGAUGUGGAGAAGAGUUGGGAUUCUUAGUGGUCAAAUAAAUAAAAGUUGGAGUUAAUAAUUUCUUGCCCUGGUCUUGUUUCAAUUGGGCUUCAUGGGUGAUAAGCUUCUCAUGAAGUUCAUCGAAGGAAAUAAGGGUCUCUCUAGCUUUGACUGCAAAAGCAAGAGAAGAAUAUUUUGUCACCAAGACCACGAAGAAUUUUGAGAGUGAGAUCGUCAAUAUCAUAGGCAACAUUCAUGAGGAGAAGCUCAUCAUUGCACGUUUUAAUGAGUUGCAUAUACUCCAUAAUAGUUGUCUCACCCUCGUGCAGAUUGUCUAGGAUUCCCUUGAGAGACAUGAUACGACAUAUGGCUUUGCAUAAGUGUUGAAGAGAGUGGUCCAAGGAGCAUGAGAUGUUGUGGCAGUGGUAAUGAAGGGAAUGAGAGUGGGCAUGAUCGAACCGAUGAUGGCGUUGAGAAUAAGCUGGUCUUGGUGCACCCAAAGAGAAUACGAGGGAUUGGGAGUCAGGUCGUUUGUUGUGGUGAGGGUCGGGGGUGGACAAGAACUAGCGCUGUCAACAAAUCUGCAGACAAGGUCGUAGCCAAUAAUAAGGGUAGUAAACUGCAGGCGCCAUGCAAAAUAGUUUGUGUGAGUUAAUUUAAGUGGGGCUUGAGCAGUCACAUUGAUGGUAAUGAGAUGUGGCACAUAGUCAGGGGCCAGAAUAAUCACAAGUGAGGUAGGAGACGAGACGGGGGAGUCGUGAGUAGCAGAGAAGACAAUGGGAAAAAGGUGGGUCGAGGGCUCUAAGAGUAGAGAGAAUCUAAUACCAUAUAAGAUAUUGUUUUUGAUCGAUCAACUCAACUUAUCUGUUUAUUGAGUUCAAUAAUAUAUAUAGGUGUUUUACAAAUUCAAAAUAAAUGUACAUCUCGGAACUGAUACAAGUAGUUUACCUAUAUAUGUACAUGCUAAUUCAAAAAUAAAACAAAUUCAAAUACAAAUAAACUUGCUAUCCAAAAAUGUAGUGAAAUAAUAGAUAUACAAAAUAUAUAUACUAAUAUUAUCCCAAUAUUUUAGGCAAAUCAGUAGACGUCUCAAUAUCUUCCUUACCUGCCAAUUUGCAAUGAACCCAUUACAUAAUUUUAAUUGAUUUCCAAAGAGAGAAUGCGCAGGCCACAAUAUCUAGAAUCACAAUUUCAAGAACUACAAAAAAAGAAAAACAUAUAUAGAACUGAUAGCUAAUGUGAUCAGUCAUAAUUAUUUGAAGUGUUGCCCAAUCAAGUAAUAUAUCUUGUUCUAAACAAUUAUAAUAGCAGCUAGCAUUUCUCUUUUACAUGCAUGCUGAAAGACCAAGAUUUUUAGGUGUACGUAGAGCCUCAUUUAUAUAAGCUAUGGGUCUGCUUUCUUGUAACAAAAUUGCUUCUUUCCCAUUCCUUGGAUAUAUCACACUAUGUUACAAAGCUUUUUUGGAAGCUUUGCAUAGGCAACAUAGGAGUGGUACCCACGAUGCUUUUAAGUUGCUCAAAGGCGUCUUCAAGUGAUUUGGUUCAUUAGGAAUUAGUCAUUACCUUUAUUCAACAAAAAGAUGAAUGGUUGACUAAUCUUGUCAUAAUCCUUAAUAAGUAUCCCUUGAUUUGAGUGGAAUUCUAUGUUCAUGUGCCUAGGAGGCGGUGAACCCUUAGGUUCUAUAAACAUAGUCGAGUAUUGCUACAACAGUUGAGCUAAUUCCUUAGGUUCCUUUUCUCCCUCUUCAGCUGUAUUUUUUUCUACUUGUAUAGAGAAAAUUUGAACCUUGAUGCUUAAAAUAUGUGCUUUAAAUCCCUAUAUGAUAUGCUAAAACUAACUUCAUGAAGCCUGUAGUACUACCUCUGAACACGAAUUUCCUUCCAUUGACAGUAAAUUGCUUUCUUAGAUUGUUAAAAUUCCGCCUAAUGGGUCUCAAGCUAACAAUAUUGGAUCCUCAAAACCAUAUUAUUGCAUCCUUCCAAGGUAUGAGUCUCAAAUCAGCUUAAUAAAAACUUCUUCCCUAGCAAGUUCCAUUUCAAUUGCCUGCAAACUGCAUCACCAGUAUUCAUUAUUGAAUUAUAGAUUGCACGGAUCUACCCUCAUGGAUUCACACACACAGCCCUUGGCCACAGUGGGCUCUGGUUCUCUUCAUGCAAUGGCUGUAAUUUGACUGUAAAUUGGCACACUGAAGUUGGGAUAUUCUUAGAACUAGCUUUAAUUUAUCUAAAAACAGAAGCUACUUAUGUAUUCUUACAAGUUUCUAUAGAAGAUACGUAUAACACUGAUAGCAUGUACCUGAGCCCAUCAGAAUAACUACAUAUUUUAAGCUUAAAAAGCCCAUCGCUGAGGGAGAUAGGCUUUGAUAAAGUUAUUUUCAAGAUUUUUCCUUUUUUUACAUACAUAUAUAUAUAUAUAUAUAUAUAUAAUUUAUUCACACACACACACACACAACAAAGUUUUCCUGCUUUUUCACCGGCAUGUUGAGCUCCACGCAAGUCCAAGGUGGAUCUAGCCGAUCUGAAGAAUAGGUCUUCUUGUAAUAUUUGUGCUGUCAACAACCUUGAACCACUGGCUCCCAGGAUCACACAUAUCAUCUCUACCCAAGCACUUGCAAGCAUCUGUGACAAUGUUGCUGCUGGAGUCUACAUCCAAGCAAACUGUGGUGCCAUCCCCCAGCUUAGUUGACAGGUACAUCUUUGAAUCUGAAAUGAUCUCCCAAUUUGACCCAGGUUGAGUGCAUAUUAUACUGAGUUUUGCAGGCUUCCCUAGCCCAACUGCUUGAAGGCAGAAGUAUGUUCCCUUCACUAUCAAUAUCUUUUGGGGGGUGUAGCCCCAAGCUUCUGACUCGGUGCAGGGACCUAGCUUUAAUGGUUCAGACAAUGAUUCCCUUAGAAUGCAAAGACCAGUCGAAGGAUGCAAGAUUAUUUUAUGUGGUCUGACUCGGGAUACAUCUGGCCCUGCAUCAAAUAUGAAACCACACAAAAUUUAGAUAUGAAUAAUUAAGUAAAUUUGCCUUAUUUGCCUUAGCAAACAUACCUUGCAAAGGAGAUUGGAGGGCUGAAAUCCUCUGGAAGAAGUUCGAGUUCCAAUUCAUUAACCCAUUAGUCUCUUCCAGUGUCCACAAUGCCCAAUCGAAGUCCAGUUCAGCCGCCAGGCCAAAGAAGCAAUUUAAGUGCCUGUUGUCAUCCACCCCAAGCUCACUCACAAACAUUAAUGGCCACCCUUGCUGUAGCAGAACCCCUCCUCCCCUCAUUAUGCUGUCCACCACUCUCCCGCACACCUUGUUGGGGUUGCUGGUUUCCCCAGCCCUCCCAACCCGCGAUCCAUGCCAAUGCAUCUCCAACACUAAUUUCCCUGUGAAUGUCAAUUCCAGCUGUUGAUUGAGGAGGAAAGAUAGGUCUGUACCAUCACUCAAGCCAGAGAUUAUGACCAGAACAUCUGGGUUGGCUGAGUGCACUGCUUCAGCUCCUUUCUGCAUGUACCUGGUCAAUUCAUGAAUAGCUUUAUACCAAGACCAAUUCCUACAAAUAUGGUAACUAAUAGUUUGGAAAUAUAACAACCCCCUCCCUUACGUGUCCGUGUAGAUAUUGUCCAAUCCAAUGGGACCC
rnacentral:lncRNA from 1 species